rnacentral:rRNA from 1 species
CAGUAGCCGCGGGAAUACAGAGGGUGCGAGCGUUAAUCGGAUUUACUGGGCGUAGAGCGUGCGUAGGCGGCUUUUUAAGUCGGAUGUGAAAUCCCUGAGCUUAACUUAGGAAUUGCAUUCGAUACUGGGAAGCUAGAGUAUGGGAGAGGAUGGUAGAAUUCCAGGUGUAGCGGUGAAAUGCGUAGAGAUCUGGAGGAAUACCGAUGGCGAAGGCAGCCAUCUGGCCUAAUACUGACGCUGAGGUACGAAAGCAUGGGGAGCAAACAGGAUUAGAGACCCCAGUAGUCCCUGUCUCUUAUAC